rnacentral:misc_RNA from 1 species
GUGAAUCAUCAAAUUUUUGAACGCAAAUUGCACUCUCUGGUAUUCCGGAGAGCAUGCCUGUUUGAGGGUCAGUUUAAAUAAAAAUCGGUGUGUUUCCCGCCAUCCGUGGUGACGCACCGGAUUUGGAUCGUCUCGCCUUCAGUUAAGUGACCUAAAAUUUUUCAUGAUUUUUUCGAACUAUCUUAAAUUAUUUUAAGUACGACUGCGAUAUCGAUUUCUAGUUGCGGACAUCUUCAUGAUUCUCGUGUA